rnacentral:rRNA from 1 species
GCUUGACUGUAGCUUGUAAUUGGGUUCGGGCUUUUUUUUGCGCAGCCUAGGUGGGAGGCAACGAUGAUUUUUUUCCGGAAAAAUUUAAGCCGUUAGUGAGAGACCACUCUGAAAAGGCUAGAAUCCUAAUAAUGAUCCUUGAAUCAGGACAUUUGACAGUUGCAGGUGGGCAGUUUUACUGGGGCGGUAUUCUCCUAAAAAGUAACGGAGGGGUGCAAAGGUUCCCUCAAGCUGGACGGAAAUCAGCUUAAGAGUGUAAAGGCAAAAGGGAGCUUGACUGCAAGACCUACAAGUCGAGCAGGGGCGAAAGCCGGCCUUAGUGAUCCGACGGUACCACGUGGAAGGGCCGUCGCUCACGGAUAAAAGUUA